rnacentral:tRNA from 1 species
GAGGCUGUAGCUCAGCUGGGAGAGCGCGACAUUCGCAUUGUCGAGGCUGACGCUUCGAGCCCUUUCAGCUCCA